GAUGAACGCUAGCUACAGGCUUAACACAUGCAAGUCGAGGGGCAGCAUGGUCUUAGCUUGCUAAGGCCGAUGGCGACCGGCGCACGGGUGAGUAACACGUAUCCAACCUGCCGUCUACUCUUGGACAGCCUUCUGAAAGGAAGAUUAAUACAAGAUGGCAUCAUGAGUCCGCAUGUUCACAUGAUUAAAGGUAUUCCGGUAGACGAUGGGGAUGCGUUCCAUUAGAUAGUAGGCGGGGUAACGGCCCACCUAGUCUUCGAUGGAUAGGGGUUCUGAGAGGAAGGUCCCCCACAUUGGAACUGAGACACGGUCCAAACUCCUACGGGAGGCAGCAGUGAGGAAUAUUGGUCAAAUGGGCGAGAGCCUGAACCAGCCAAGUAGCGUGAAGGAUGACUGCCCUAUGGGUUGUAAACUUCUUUUAUAAAGGAAUAAAGUCGGGUAUGGAUACCCGUUUGCAUGUACUUUAUGAAUAAGGAUCGGCUAACUCCGUGCCAG
rnacentral:rRNA from 1 species